rnacentral:lncRNA from 1 species
UGGUCCAGGAAGUGGUGCUGUCCAUCUCAGAAGUACAAUGACAAGACAAGAAAAAGGUGUGUUCCAGAAGACAAAGACAGAAAAGAAGGGAGAGACCAGCUUGGAAGGACCAGGAGAAGAUAAAGGCCUGAUGGCCUGCUAUCUUGCUUUUUAUGAGGGAAGGGCUUCUUCACCUCCAGACACCCUUGAGCUCCAGCGCGACUCCGGCUUUCCCUUUGCAGCUCAGAAUCUGAACAAUGGUGAACAAAUCCCUUACACUCUCUAGCCUCUUUCUAAAGCAGGUGUCGUGGUAUGACUCACUUCCCCAGAUACAGCACUUGGUCUAGACAUCUCUGGAGCUUUUAAAGAGAAACUGAAAUGCUUGUGAAAAAGAAGCUAUGUGAGGGGAAAGAAAAAGAGAGCGAGACUGUGUGCAAGCACCCUCAUUUGUAUCUGCGCAACUGAAGACAAGAUGGAGGAACCGGGGAUGGGGGAGUGGGACAAUGCAUAAUUCACAUAAAAUGUUACAUGGUAAAAGAG